UUAAAAUCGUCGAGUAAGAGGAGUAAGCAUAUAAAAAGCGUUUGUAGAGAGCUGGUGAUGGUGAAAUUCCAGCACGUGGUUAUAUGCUGAAUGGACUUACAAGAGGUUUCCUGAAAGAAAAAAAGCGAUAUGCCAUGGAGUAAUACCGGCUUGCUUUCAGACAAAAGUAUGGAAACCCGGAGUUCCGCCGUUAUACGGAUAGAAUAUCGAGGCAAUCUCUUUGUAUAGAGACUUCUUCCGUAUUCGAAUAAGAUGAGAAGAUUAAAUUUUUCUCAAAAGAGGUGGCACCGCGGUCACAAUCGUCCUCUAU
rnacentral:ncRNA from 1 species